GACCAGCGUUGGGAAAUUAGGCUGGAGCCAUCAUGAAAACUUUUUCAGGCUGUGCACGCUCGCCCGUGCCUGCCCAUCUGCUUCCAACCCCUCCCCACCUUUCUGGGCGCAGCCUGCCUGCUCCAUCGGAAUGCCCCUUAGAUGAAUCCCCUUGUGCUGUUACUGUGUCCUUGUCGUCCAGCUCUCUGGUUUUCUUUUCUGUACACCUUCUCGGUUUCCAGAGUCUUAAUUCGCCUGCUUGUCCUUAACCAUCAAAACUCUUUAUUAAUAUCCUGGCUUUCGCUGAUUUUUAUUCUUACCCCUUCUCCCCAGCUGUGUAUUGCUGGGUGAAAACCCAAGUAUGCUGUGCUGGCUGCGUUGUAAUCGGUAGAGAGCCACCAGCUAAAAAUUGUAUUUUGUACCAACUCUAAUGGCAUUUAAUAAAUGUAUACCUAAAAA
rnacentral:antisense_RNA from 1 species